GAUGAAGAACGUAGCGAAAUGCGAUAAGUAAUGUGAAUUGCAGAAUUCAGUGAAUCAUCGAGUCUUUGAACGCACAUUGCGCCCGCCAGUAUUCUGGCGGGCAUGCCUGUUCGAGCGUCAUUUCAACCAUCAAGCCCCCGGCUUGUGUUGGGGACCUGCGGCUGCCGCAGGCCCUGAAAAGCAGUGGCGGGCUCGCUGUCACACCGAGCGUAGUAGCAUACAUCUCGCUCUGGGCGUGCUGCGGGUUCCGGCCGUUAAACCACCUUCAUAACCCAAGGUUGACCUCGGAUCAGGUAGGAAGACCCGCUGAACUUAAGCAUAUCAAUAAGCGGAGGA
rnacentral:misc_RNA from 1 species